rnacentral:rRNA from 1 species
UACGGAGGAUGCAAGCGUUAUCCGGAAUGAUUGGGCGUAAAGCGUCCGCAGGUGGCAAUGUAAGUCUGCUGUCAAAGCGUCUGGCUCAACCAGAUAAAGGCAGUGGAAACUACAUAGCUAGAGUAAGGUAGGGGUAGAGGGAAUUCCUGGUGUAGCGGUGAAAUGCGUAGAGAUCAGGAAGAACACCGGUGGCGAAAGCGGCACUCUGGGCCGGUACUGACGCUGAGGAGCGAAAGCGUGGGGAGCAAACAGG